AUGGGAACGCGAAGAACCUUACCUAGACUUGACAUCUUCUGCAUUAAUCGUAAUGGAUGAAAUCCCUUCGGGGACAGAAUGACAGGUGGUGCAUGGUUGUCGUCAGCUCGUGUCGUGAGAUGUUGGGUUAAGUCCCGCAACGAGCGCAACCCCUAUUAUUAGUUGCUAACAUUAAGUUGAGCACUCUAGUGAGACUGCCCGGGUUAACCGGGAGGAAGGUGGGGAUGACGUCAAAUCAUCAUGCCCCUUAUGUCUAGGGCUACACACGUGCUACAAUGGUGGGAACAAAGAGAUGCAAGACCGCGAGGUGGAGCUAAACUCAAAACCCCAUCCCAGUUCGGAUUGUAGGCUGAAACUCGCCUACAUGAAGCUGGAGUUGCUAGUAAUCGCGAAUCAGAAUGUCGCGGUGAAUACGUUCCCGGGUCUUGUACACACCG
rnacentral:rRNA from 1 species